CAUGCAAGUCGAGCGCCCCGCAAGGGGAGCGGCAGACGGGUGAGUAACGCGUGGGGAUCUGCCUAGUGGUACGGAACAACACGGGGAAACUCGUGCUAAUACCGUAUAAGUCCUUCGGGAGAAAGAUUUAUCGCCAUCAGAUGAACCCGCGUCUGAUUAGCUAGUUGGUGAGGUAACGGCUCACCAAGGCGACGAUCAGUAGCUGGUCUGAGAGGAUGAUCAGCCACACUGGGACUGAGACACGGCCCAGACUCCUACGGGAGGCAGCAGUGGGGAAUAUUGGACAAUGGGCGCAAGCCUGAUCCAGCCGUGCCGCGUGAGUGAUGAAGGCCUUAGGGUUGUAAAGCUCUUUCGCUGGGGAAGAUAAUGACGGUACCCAGAGAAGAAGCCCCGGCUAACUUCGUGCCAGCAGCCGCGGUAAUACGAAGGGGGCUAGCGUUGUUCGGAAUUACUGGGCGUAAAGCGCACGUAGGCGGACUUGUCAGUCAGAGGUGAAAUCCCGAAGCUUAACUUCGGAACUGCCUUUGAUACUGCAAGUCUUGAGGAUGAGAGAGGUAAGUGGAACUGCGAGUGUAGAGGUGAAAUUCGUAGAUAUUCGCAAGAACACCAGUGGCGAAGGCGGCUUACUGGCUCAUUUCUGACGCUGA
rnacentral:rRNA from 1 species